rnacentral:rRNA from 1 species
GUCCACGCCGUAAACGAUGGAUGCUAGCCGUCAGCAAGCAUGCUUGUUGGUGGCGCAGCUAACGCAUUAAGCAUCCCGCCUGGGGAGUACGGCCGCAAGGUUAAAACUCAAAGGAAUUGACGGGGGCCCGCACAAGCGGUGGAGCAUGUGGUUUAAUUCGACGCAACGCGCAGAACCUUACCAACCCUUGACAUGCCCGGUCGGUUUCCAGAGAUGGAUUCCUCCCAGCAAUGGGCCGGGACACAGGUGCUGCAUGGCUGUCGU